CUGUAUGUGUGUUGGUGCUGUGUAUGUCUGUGGGUGCUGUGUAUGCGUGUGGGUGCUGUAUGUGUAUAGGUGCUGUGUAUGUCUGUGGGUGCUGUAUGUGUAUAGGUGCUGUGUAUGUCUGUGGGUGCUGUAUGUGUGUAGGUGCUGUGUAUGUCUGUGGGUGCUGUAUGUGUGUUGGUGCUGUGUAUGUGUGUGGGUGCUGUGUAUGUCUGUGGGUGCUGUAUGUGUGUGGGUG